rnacentral:rRNA from 1 species
GACGAACGCUGGCGGCGUGCUUAACACAUGCAAGUCGAACGGAAAGGCCCUGCUUUUGUGGGGUGCUCGAGUGGCGAACGGGUGAGUAACACGUGAGUAACCUGCCCUUGACUUUGGGAUAACUUCAGGAAACUGGGGCUAAUACCGGAUAGGAGCUCCUGCUGCAUGGUGGGGGUUGGAAAGUUUCGGCGGUUGGGGAUGGACUCGCGGCUUAUCAGCUUGUUGGUGGGGUAGUGGCUUACCAAGGCUUUGACGGGUAGCCGGCCUGAGAGGGUGACCGGCCACAUGGGGACUGAGAUACGGCCAGGACUCCUACGGGGGGCAGCGGGGGGGAAUAUUGCAAAAGGGGCGGAGGCCUGAUGCAGAAACGCGGGGGGGGGGAGAACGGCCUUCGGGUGGAAACCGCUUUCGCCUGUGACGAAGCGUGAGUGACGGUAAUGGGUAAAGAAGCACCGGCUAACUACGUG